GAUUUAGCCAUGCUAGUCGCACGAGUUCAGACUCGUGGCGAAUAGCUCAGUAACACGUGGCCAAACUACCCUUCGGAACACAAUACCCUCGGGAAACUGAGGCUAAUAGUGUAUACCACAUCACCACUGGAAUGAGUGAUGUGCCAAACGCUCCGGCGCCGAAGGAUGUGGCUGCGGCCGAUUAGGUAGACGGUGGGGUAACGGCCCACCGUGCCAAUAAUCGGUAUGGGUCAUGAGAGUGAGAACCCAGAGACGGAAUCUGAGACAAGAUUCCGGGCCCUACGGGGCGCAGCAGGCGCGAAACCUUUACACUGCACGACAGUGCGAUAGGGGGAUCCCAAGUGCACAGGCAUAGCGCCUGUGCUUUUCGGUACCGUAAGGUGGUACCAGAAUAAGGGCUGGGCAAGACCGGUGCCAGCCGCCGCGGUAAUACCGGCAGCCCAAGUGAUGGCCGAUCUUAUUGGGCCUAAAGCGUCCGUAGCUGGCCGCGCAAGUCCAUCGGGAAAUCCACCUGCUCAACAGGUGGGCGCCCGGUAGAAACUGCGUGGCUUGGGACCGGAAGGCGCGACGGGUACGUCCGGGGUAGGAGUGAAAUCCCGUAAUCCUGGACGGACCGCCGAUGGCGAAAGCACGUCGCGAGGACGGAUCCGACAGUGAGGGACGAAAGCCAGGGUCUCGAACCGGAUUAGAUACCCGGGUAGUCCUGGCCGUAAACAAUGUCUGCUAGGUGUGGCUCCCACUACGAGUGGGUGCUGUGCCGUAGGGAAGCCGCUAAGCAGACCGCCUGGGAAGUACGUCCGCAAGGAUGAAACUUAAAGGAAUUGGCGGGGGAGCACUACAACCGGAGGAGCCUGCGGUUUAAUUGGACUCAACGCCGGACAUCUCACCAGCAUCGACUGU
rnacentral:rRNA from 1 species